rnacentral:rRNA from 1 species
AUGAAUUGCAUAACGUGGAACUGUCUCGGGCUUGGGAACCCGGAGACAGUUCGUGACUUCCACCGUUUGGUGAGGGUUGAAGUGCCCACCUUAGUCUUCUUGUCGGAGACGAAGAUUGAGGGAAAUAAGGUAGCAGAUAUGAAAGCAAGACUUGGUUUCAAAGGAUGUAUCACUGUCAGCAGUAACGGGCUGAGCGGAGGACUUGCCCUUUUCUGGUCUAGAGAGGUGGAUGUUAAGCUC